rnacentral:rRNA from 1 species
GACGGACGCUGGCGGCGUGCCUAAUACAUGCAAGUCGAACGCUGAAGAGAGGAGCUUGCUCUUCUUGGAUGAGUUGCGAACGGGUGAGUAACGCGUAGGUAACCUGCCUUGUAGCGGGGGAUAACUAUUGGAAACGAUAGCUAAUACCGCAUAACAAUGGAUGACACAUGUCAUUUAUUUGAAAGGGGCAAUUGCUCCACUACAAGAUGGACCUGCGUUGUAUUAGCUAGUAGGUGAGGUAAUGGCUCACCUAGGCGACGAUACAUAGCCGACCUGAGAGGGUGAUCGGCCACACUGGGACUGAGACACGGCCCAGACUCCUACGGGAGGCAGCAGUAGGGAAUCUUCGGCAAUGGGGGCAACCCUGACCGAGCAACGCCGCGUGAGUGAAGAAGGUUUUCGGAUCGUAAAGCUCGGUUGUAAGUCAAGAACGGGUGUGAGAGUGGAAAGUUCACACUGUGACGGUAGCUUACCAGAAAGGGACGGCUAACUACGUG